GAGACACCCCUAUGGAGCAGGAUUUGCUUCAAUGGGGCUUUGAUGUUCACUGAGUCUGCCCCUUGAGUGUGUUGCU
rnacentral:pre_miRNA from 1 species